UGGGGAAUCUUGGACAAUGGGGGCAACCCUGAUCCAGCCAUGCCGCGUGAGUGAUGAAGGCCUUAGGGUCGUAAAGCUCUUUCGCCUGUGAAGAUAAUGACGGUAGCAGGUAAAGAAACCCCGGCUAACUCCGUGCCAGCAGCCGCGGUAAUACGGAGGGGGUUAGCGUUGUUCGGAAUUACUGGGCGUAAAGCGCACGUAGGCGGACCAGAAAGUUGGGGGUGAAAUCCCGGGGGCUCAACCCCGGAACUGCCUCCAAAACUAUUGGUCUAGAGUUCGAGAGAGGUGAGUGGAAUUCCAAGUGUAGAGGUGAAAUUCGUAGAUAUUUGGAGGAACACCAGUGGCGAAGGCGGCUCACUGGCUCGAUACUGACGCUGAGGUGCGAAAGUGUGGGGAGCAAACAGGAUUAGAUACCCUGGUAGUCCACACCGUAAAACGAUGAAUGCCAGUCGUCGGGUAGCAUGCUAUUCGGUGACACACCUAACGGAUUAAGCAUUUCCCGG
rnacentral:rRNA from 1 species